GAUGAACGCUGGCGGCGUGCCUAAUACAUGCAAGUCGAGCGAACAGACGCUGAGCUUACUCUUCUGACGUUAGCGGCGGACGGGUGAGUCACACGUGGAUAACCUUCCUCUUCGACUUGGAUAACUUCGGGAAACCGGAGCUACUACCGGAUAACAUGUUGAACCGCAUGGUUCAACAGUGAAUGACGGUCUUGCUGUCACUUAUAGAUGGAUCCGCGUUGCAUUAGCUAGUUGGUAAGGUAACGGCUUACCAAGGCAACGAUGCGUAGCCGACCUGCGAGGGUGAACGGGCACACAGGAGGUGAAAGACGGUACAGACUCCUACGGGAGGCAGAGGUAGGGAAUCGACGGAGAAGGGCGAAAGACUGAAGAAGCAACGCAGGGUGGAUGAAGAGGGUCUGCGGAGCGGAAAACUCUGUUAUGAGUGAAGAACAAAUUCGCAAGUAACUAAGCACGUUGUGACGGUACCUAGACAGAAAGCAACGGCUAACUACGUG
rnacentral:rRNA from 1 species